rnacentral:rRNA from 1 species
UUGGAGGGCAAGUCUGGUGCCAGCAGCCGCGGUAAUUCCAGCUCCAAUAGCGUAUAUUAAAGUUGUUGCAGUUAAAAAGCUCGUAGUUGAAUUUUAGACUUGAUCUCAUGGUCCAUCCAAUGGAUGAGUACUGUUUUGAUUGGGACUUCAUUUCUGAUAAACUUUUAUUCCCUUUAUUGGGUGUAAUAGGGAAGCAGGACCAUUACCUUGAAAAAAUUAGAGUGUUUAAGGCAGGCUAACGCCUGAAUACAUUAGCAUGGAAUAAUGAAAUAGGACGUUCGAUCCUAUUUUGUUGGUUUCUAGGAUUGACGUAAUGAUUAAUAGGGAUAGUUGGGGGCAUUAGUAUUCAAUUGUCAGAGGUGAAAUUCUUGGAUUUAUUGAAGACUAACUACUGCGAAAGCAUUUGCCAAGGAUGUUUUCAUUAAUCAAGAACGAAAGUUAGGGGAUCGAAGACGAUCAGAUACCGUCGUAGUCUUAACCAUAAACUAUGCCGACUAGGGAUCGGAUGAUGUUAAUUUUUUAAUGACUCAUUCGGCGCCUUACGGGAAAC